rnacentral:rRNA from 1 species
CUACGGGUCGCAGCAGUGAGGAAUAUUGCACAAUGGGGGGAACCCUGAUGCAGCAACGCCGCGUGGAGGAUGACGCAUUUCGGUGUGUAAACUCCUUUUAUAUGUCAAGAAAAUGACGGUAGCAUAUGAAUAAGCACCGGCUAACUCCGUGCCAGCAGCCGCGGUAAUAAGGAGGGUGCAAGCGUUACUCGGGAUCACUGGGCGUAAAGGACGCGUAGGCGGGUUGGAAAGUCAGGUGUGAAAUCCUACAGCUUAACUGUAGAACUGCACUUGAAACUUCUAAUCUAGAGUAUGGGAGGGGGAGAUGGAAUUAGUGGUGUAGGGGUAAAAUCCGUAGAUAUCACUAGGAAUACCUAAAGCGAAGGCGAUCUCCUGGAACAUUACUGACGCUAAGGCGUGAAAGCGUGGGGAGCAAACAGGAUUAGAUACCCGCGUAGUC